UCUGCUCUGAGAGAGCUCGAUGGCAGGUGCCUCUCCGUGUUGCGAAACCCUCCCUACGCUGCUCUCUCUACUCCA
rnacentral:miRNA from 1 species